rnacentral:siRNA from 1 species
AUAUCUACACCCUUCGCUCUCCC